CCUACGGGAGGCAGCAGUGGGGAAUCUUGCGCAAUGGGCGAAAGCCUGACGCAGCCAUGCCGCGUGUAUGAUGAAGGUCUUAGGAUUGUAAAAUACUUUCACCGGUGAAGAUAAUGACUGUAGCCGGAGAAGAAGCCCCGGCUAACUUCGUGCCAGCAGCCGCGGUAAUACGAAGGGGGCUAGCGUUGCUCGGAAUUACUGGGCGUAAAGGGAGCGUAGGCGGACAUUUAAGUCAGAGGUGAAGUCCCGGAGCUUAACUUCGGAACUGCCUUUGAUACUGGGUGUCUUGAGUGUGAGAGAGGUAUGUGGAACUCCGAGUGUAGAGGUGAAAUUCGUAGAUAUUCGGAAGAACACCAGUGGCGAAGGCGACAUACUGGCUCAUUACUGACGCUGAGGCUCGAAAGCGUGGGGAGCAAACAGGAUUAGAUACCCUGGUAGUCCACGCCGUAAACGAUGAUUGCUAGUUGUCGGGAAGCUUGCUUCUCGGUGACGCAGCUAACGCAUUAAGCAAUCCGCCUGGGGAGUACGGUCGCAAGAUUAAAACUCAAAGAGUAAGUAGCGUGNGAGAGCGACGACGACGACGACGGAGGAGGAGG
rnacentral:rRNA from 1 species